CUGAAAUCCAGUUUCACCAGGACAGUCAGAAUGGA
rnacentral:sRNA from 1 species